rnacentral:rRNA from 1 species
GACGAACGCUGGCGGCGUGCUUAACACAUGCAAGUCGAACGGAAAGGCCCUGCUUUUGUGGGGUGCUCGAGUGGCGAACGGGUGAGUAACACGUGAGUAACCUGCCCUUGACUUUGGGAUAACUUCAGGAAACUGGGGCUAAUACCGGAUAGGAGCUCCUGCUGCAUGGUGGGGGUUGGAAAGUUUCGGCGGUUGGGUAUGUACUCGCGGCUUAUCAGCUUGUUGGUGGGGUAGUGGCUUACAAAGGCUUUGACGGGUAGCCGGCCUGCGAGGGUGACCGGCCACAUUGGGGAUGAGAACCGGCCGAGGCACAUAGGGGAGGCAGCAGUGGGGAAUAUUGCAGAAUGGACGGAAGCGUGAUGGAGAAACGGGGCGUGCGGGAGGACGCCUUUCGGGUUGUAAACCGAUUUCGCCUGUGACGAAGCGUGAGUACGGGAAAUGGAUAAAGAAGCACCGGCAAACUACGU